UUCAGUUYUUAGGUGCCUUAAACACCCUCAGGUGGGUUUCAGCUCACAGAGCUUUAGGUGUCUGCAGAAAGGAUGUCUCAGUUCCUGGAGACCCAGUCUGACCAGCCUGUGGAGCCCAGAGAUUGAUUAAUCUCAUCCCAAAAAGGACUGAUAUUUGAUCAGAUGAGUGGUGACCUACACCCAUUGCCUGAGAACUAUUUUGUUUUUUAAAACAGUGACCGAAACAUGGAGCUCAAAUAUAGAAGGUGAAGUUGUAGUCACCAGAAAUCAAGASAGCUGUAUCCUACUUUCAGCCUGAGACAAAGGUUAAGAAAAGAAAUGUAAUGAUUUACAUUCUCAYUGGUUUCCAUGGGCCUUGAGAAAGGACAUUAAGCACAGGAAAUAAAGAACCUGUGAACCAAGCUGAUAAAAGAAGAAUUGACCCAAACUACUCAAUGUCAAUCUAAUGAGAUCAAAAGACAUCAGAGAAGAAGAAUGGAUAAAAGAAUGGUCCCUUUUUUCCUCUCAUUUCUGAAGGGAAAUUAAAUAAGAGCCAUAGCUCUACAUUAUGGCUUUCCUUUCUGCUUAGCUUUAAUUUUAGUCAUCUUUUGCUGGUUCCUGUUGUACUCAGUUCCUGAACUCUCAAUACAAUAAAUGUUAUUGUUCAUGGGGAUAAUGAGUUACMUAAAUGUCAAGUCAUCAACAAUCAGCUGGCCAAUUGCCUGAAGCCUUUUCUGUUUUCUUCAUKGGACAUAAGUACAAGUACUUAUUCAUACAAACAAGUCUUACACACCUAAGAAGACCUAUUGACUGUAGUGGUGAAUUGAAGGUGGAAAAAGUAAGGGUUGUGCAACAUCCUCCUAGGAAAGAAGUUCCAUUUGUCACAAAUCUUUACCUGAUGGCAUUAAUUUACUUGCUUUUGGCAACAUAUACACCCCAUACAAUUUUUAAUUUUGAAAAAAGCAGACAGAAGAGAUCAAAUUCAGAAGUAGCAAAUUGUUUUGCAAGUAAUUCCAAAAGCAAGGGAUAAUGUGUUUGGGGCWAAGAUAGGGGUUCUUGAAAUGUUUAGUAAAAAUAUAAAAUUGKAUCUGUCUCAUGCUAUUAGAAUCUCAUUGAGUUUUGAUUUAGCUGAAAGAAUAUACUAGUGCAGAGAAAUUGUUAUCCUAYCUGAUAUACAAAACCCUUAAGUUCA